AAAGAUAAAGGAGGCCCUACAACACGUCAUUGUGCCUUGGGUAGAGCACAGGGUUUUGUCUAAAAUAAUAAAAUUACUUUUGAAAAAAUUGGGGUACUUCCACAGCCUUCCAGUUCGUCAGUUCUUCAUUAGGUGCGGCUUGUCGUAUCCGGCUAGACACCCCUUCUUCACGAACUUCAUCACUGAUCAUCGCCACCUAGUUGCCAAAAAUAUGGCCAGCGCUGGUGAACGUUUCUUCUACAGAAGGAAUCUCCUCUUUGUCGUGUUGGUUACUGAUUUCAUUUGAUGACGGGUCGUACCCUAAACCAAACUUGUCCCACUUCUCUCACACUUCCACCACUUUGCCCCAGUCUUGAGCAUUUUCACUUUCCAUAACAGCCUUAGCUCCUUGCCACGAGGCCAUGGACGGUCCUGAUUUCGGGGUCUCCAAUGUCUGCUGGACGGCCAUCACAUUUACCACUUCCAAGGAUUGGAAUGGUGUCUCGGUUAUCUCACCAUCCACCUCGAUAUACCGGAAGGAUGUUAAGUGACUAACCAAGAUAUCCUCCUCUCCUC
rnacentral:lncRNA from 1 species